rnacentral:rRNA from 1 species
UACAGAGGUCCCAAGCGUUGUUCGGAUUCACUGGGCGUAAAGGGUGCGUAGGUGGUCGAGUAAGUCUGAUGUGAAAUCUUCGAGCUCAACCCGAAAAUGGCAUUGGAUACUAUUCGGCUGGAGGGUUGGAAGGGGGACUGGAAUUCUCGGUGUAGCAGUGAAAUGCGUAGAUAUCGAGAGGAACACCGGUGGCGAAGGCGAGUCCCUGGACAAUCCCUGACACUGAGGCACGAAAGCUAGGGGAGCAAACAGG